UUGGCGGGGUAACGGCCCACCAAAGCGACGAUGGAUAGGGGUUCUGAGAGGAAGGUCCCCCACAUUGGAACUGAGACACGGUCCAAACUCCUACGGGAGGCAGCAGUGAGGAAUAUUGGUCAAUGGUCGGCAGACUGAACCAGCCAAGUCGCGUGAGGGAAGACGGCCCUACGGGUUGUAAACCUCUUUUGUCGGAGAGUAAAGUACGCUACGCGUAGCGUAUUGCAAGUAUCCGAAGAAAAAGCAUCGGCUAACUCCGUGCCAGCAGCCGCGGUAAUACGGAGGAUGCAAGCGUUAUCCGGAUUUAUUGGGUUUAAAGGGUGCGUAGGCGGCACGCCAAGUCAGCGGUGAAAUUUCCGGGCUCAACCCGGACUGUGCCGUUGAAACUGGCGAGCUAGAGUGCACAAGAGGCAGGCGGAAUGCGUGGUGUAGCGGUGAAAUGCAUAGAUAUCACGCAGAACCCCGAUUGCGAAGGCAGCCUGCUAGGGUGCGACAGACGCUGAGGCACGAAAGCGUGGGUAUCGAACAGGAUUAGAUACCCUGGUAGUCCACGCAGUAAACGAUGAAUACUAACUGUUUGCGAUACAAUGUAAGCGGUACAGCGAAAGCGUUAAGUAUUCCACCUGGGGAGUACGCCGGCAACGGUGAAACUCAAAGGAAUUGACGGGGGCCCGCACAAGCGGAGGAACAUGUGGUUUAAUUCGAUGAUACGCGAGGAACCUUACCCGGGCUCAAACGCAGGGGGAAUAUAUAUGAAAGUAUAUAGCUAGCAAUAGUCACCUGCGAGGUGCUGCAUGGUUGUCGUCAGCUCGUGCCGUGAGGUGUCGGCUUAAGUGCCAUAACGAGCGCAACCCCUAUGGACAGUUACUAACGGGUGAAGCCGAGGACUCUGUCGAGACUGCCGGCGCAAGCCGCGAGGAAGGUGGGGAUGACGUCAAAUCAGCACGGCCCUUACGUCCGGGGCGACACACGUGUUACAAUGGCAGGUACAGAAGGC
rnacentral:rRNA from 1 species